rnacentral:misc_RNA from 1 species
GUUUGGUUUGUUACGGGUGGUUGGCUCUUUGCUUGCGCAACAACUUCCACCUGGCAUACCUCUUCANUUUUUGCGUCAAUGCUUGUAUCGCAUUGAAUGCAACGUGGGUUUCUUGUGUUGCAUACCAAAUUGAUGGUAUCGUUUGAUGAAUUGAUGUCCCUUAUUCGUCUUGUGUCGCACACGCGAUGUGAGACGAACUUUGAAGCGGUCUUUGUGAUCCACUCUUUUGAUGCACAUGCGUUGAUGGUGUGGCCCAUUAAGUGUCGCUUGGUCUCAUGGAUAUGGAACCUGGUUUGGGCAUGGGAUAAGAUCCUUGUUUGCCCUUCUUUAGCUUUUCUAAUACGAUUGACUAUCACGUAUGGCUCGUCUCAGCGUGGUAGUCUAUGUCGAA